AUUCAGAUGACGAGUUCCAAAUGGGACGAAAUGCGCAUCUUGAAU
rnacentral:hammerhead_ribozyme from 1 species